rnacentral:rRNA from 1 species
GUCCUGGCCGUAAACGAUGGAUACUAGGUGUUGGGGGUAUCGACCCCCCCAGUGCCGCAGCGAACGCAUUAAGUAUCCCGCCUGGGGGAGUACGGCCGCAAGGUUGAAACUCAAAGGAAUUGACGGGGGCCCGCACAAGCGGUGGAGCAUGUUGUUUAAUACGUCACUAACCGUAGAACCUUACCAGGGCUUGACAUCCGCUGACCGUCGGUGAAAGCCGGCUUUCCCGCAAGGGACAGCGAGACAGGUGUUGCAUGGCUGUCGU